rnacentral:misc_RNA from 1 species
AGAGCUGGUUCUUCAGGUUUCUGAUCAUACAGAUUUUCACUGGGCUUUGUAGUAAGCUUUCUGGCACCAAGGCCUCCAGUCUUCCCAGUUUUCUUUGCACCAAGAGGCUUCUUUACUGAACUGGCAAUAACUGGAUGAGAAGUUCUUAGGGAAUGAGAAACAUCAGAUGUUUCUUGCCUUCCUAGCGAACUUUCUUUAGGAGUAUCAUUGAUUUUGAGAUCAGCUAGUCCAUUAGAUGCUUGGGCG